UACGUAGGUGGCAAGCGUUGUCCGGAAUUACUGGGCGUAAAGAGCUCGUAGGUGGUUUGUCGCGUUGUCCGUGAAAACUCACAGCUCAACUGUGGGCGUGCGGGCGAUACGGGCAGACUGGAGUACUGCAGGGGAGACUGGAAUUCCUGGUGUAGCGGUGGAAUGCGCAGAUAUCAGGAGGAACACCGGUGGCGAAGGCGGUUCUCUGGGCCUUACCUGACGCUGAGGAGCGAAAGCGUGGGGAGCGAACAGG
rnacentral:rRNA from 1 species